AAAACAUUUUUUUAAAGUUUUUUUAUUUAUUUAUGGUAGUCACACAGAGAGAGAGAGAAAGAGAGGCAGAGACAUAGGCAGAGGGAGAAGCAGGCUCCAUGCACCGGGAGCCCGAUGUGGGAUUCGAUCCUGGGUCUCCAGGAUCAUGCCCUGGGCCAAAGGCAGGCGCUAAACCGCUGCGCCACCCAGGGAUCCCUAAUUAAAACAUUUAAGUCCAACUGGUAUCAGGAAGUUUGAGGACAACUAAAAUUUAUUCUUAUAAGCACCUAACAGCCAGUGGGAGCAGAACUAUGUGGACACACCAAACAGUAAGCUAGCUGCAGAUAUUCAAUGGGUCAUGAGCAUCAGUCUGUUCCAUAGUGGGAAUGGACUGUCUGUGAACCCAGAAAGGAACUUAGCUGGGUUAUAGUUAAGAAAGUUUUGACCACAAAUAGAAAUUAUUUAAUAACAAAUAGGGCUGUCCUCAGAGACCAAUUAGUUAGUAGUUAUGGCUACAACGUUAUAUAAUAAAGCAACCAAAUCCAAUAACAUACAAUAAUAAGCAUUUUAUUCUCAUCUCAUGAUUACCCAAGUCAGCUUUGAUCAAGACAGGUGAGUGAGCACCCCUGGUUCAAGCUGUGGGUCAACUAAGCUUGAUUCCUCAAUGCAGACUUGGCUGGGUGGAUCUGCUCUACACAUACCUUUUCAUGCACUGAGGCACCAAGAGGAAGUAGCUAUUCAAGGGGAAGUUCUGCUCAAGGCAAUGGCAAAGUAUAAGACACCACAUAAGCCCCUUCUUGAUACAUCAUGAACACUAAUAUCCUACUGGCCAAAGGAAGUCACAUGACCAUGCCAGUCUUCAAGGACAGGUAGCAGACACCAUCAACCCUGAGGUCAAAACAAGUCAUACGGCCAAGUCUGAGAUCCCAGAGUGAGAAAAUACACUUCCGUGGAGAUGAGGGAAACAAGUGAAUAUUUUCAGCAAUAAUCUGGUCUAUCACACAGACCAAAAUGAAAUGCUGACUUAUGGCCCUGAAUAUGUUAAAAUUCUGUUAAAACUGAUUUUCAAAGUCACUUUCAGCUCUUUCUAUGAUGUUACAAGUUUGUGACUACUCUGAUAAAAAUGUACUGCUAGAUUAAUUGAUGAUGUUGAUAGAAAUAAAAAUGAAUUAUGCUUCAGAUAUUGUUUUGUUAAACAGUCUGAGUUUAAAGAAAAACAUUUUUGUUCAGGACUAGUUGCUCAUGCAGAUUUGAACACACAGAACUACAAUUUAGCAGAAAAAAUAUUCCAUCAUAUGACUGCAAAGUAGUUUCCUUUUCACACUCAUAAACUGAUUUACUAAGAUAUGGGGUUCUUUUUGAAAACACUGCUACUUUGUAUGUAUCACAUAUAUAACAUAAUAAAUAUAUGAAAA
rnacentral:lncRNA from 1 species